rnacentral:rRNA from 1 species
UACGUAGGGGGCGAGCGUUGUCCGGAGUUACUGGGCGUAAAGCGCACGCAGGCGGUCUGCUAAGUUUGGAGUGACAGUUGGUGGCUUAACUGCCAAAGUGCUUCGAAAACUGACAGACUUGAGGGCUUCAGAGGGACACGGAAUUCCGGGUGGAGUGGUGAAAUGCGUAGAGAUCCGGAGGAACACCAAGGAGGCAAGGCAGUGUCCUGGGGAGUACCUGACGCUCAGGUGCGAAAGCCAGGGGAGCGAACGAG